GUACGCCACUUUGGCUUGCAAAUGAUCACUUUUGCUAUUUUCGAGGCCAAACUGGAAUGCUGGAGUUCUAAAUUCUGCGUAUCCCUUCUUGCAUGUGUCUUGUUGUCGACUUGCGCCAUCUUUCCCUGUGUUUCAGGCCUCACAAGAUUAAAACUUGAUGCUUCAGACCCUCUGAGCCCCUUUGUCUGCGUGGAACGGGUCUCUAGUCGCGGGUGGACAAAGCGUAGGAUGAGUGACAAACAGACGCACACAGGAGAGGUCGAGGAAUCUGAAUGUCAUUUUUCAAAUCGAGCAUCAGACUUUUUAUGCAGAAGACAAUAAGGAAGUUGGAUGACAUACCUGCAAGGUACAAAUGAGCUUUCCCAGAUAUCUCUGAAGAUACCAUUUUGAAUAGGACUCACAUCACUCACUGCCUUGGUAGGGUCAUCUUUGUUCCACAAGAGGAAAACUGUCCACGAGAGGGUGGAGAUCACUCUGGCCAUGCAUAAUCAGAUUAACAUCAACGGUCCUUUACUCUGAAGAAGCCAUGGAGACCCCUCUUGCUGAUUAAGCCAGCUCAGGCUCCUGUGGAUGCUAUGGCCCUGGGCACUGAGCCCAGCAUCUGAACUUGUUCCUGGACCAGAGGUUCGAGAUGUCCACUUCUGAGGCCAUUUACUUCUUUGUGGGCCACCAGCUGUU
rnacentral:lncRNA from 1 species